UUAAACAAAGUUUGCAGUGUGUUUAUAAUUAACCUCUUGUCCAUUCUAUGUUCUAUUCUGGUGACCAAUACGAAAGGAGGAGUUAUUCUCAUAACUAUCUGAAGAGUUGCACCUUCACCUUGAUUUCAGUGAUGGAAAUGAAGAGGGCAAUCAUAGAGGAAUACAAGAGGAGAUGUCUGUGGAAGCUGUUGGAUGCUGGGCAUUGUUUCUUCAUGGAGGCUCAGGAACCUCACAAGAAAUUUACACACCUCCCCCAUGCCUCAGGUUACACAGUGGUGAACAACUGCUGAGGAGCCUCCUGGAUCCUGCCUGCCUGCAGAUGUUAUGAGCAAGUCAGCCUUCCUGUGAUGAUUUUUCUCAGCUCUCCUGGGCCUCUGAGGUCACUGACAUUUCACAUCAUUUCCUGCAAUCCUCCUGCUAGAACCUGGACCCCUGACUCCUGUUUCAUUGGGGUUGGACACGAGACCUCUUCCAAUACAUUGUGGAUAUGGCUGUAACCAUUGGACGCUAUUCCCCUCCAAAGCAGACAGCCCUUGCAGUAACCAUUUCAGUCUAGACAUGAAAAUGCAGAGAUGUGGAACGCAGUCAUAGUGGAUACAUCAACAUACAACUUCUGCAUAUGAAGCUCAGGGAUUAAUGAGGUGGUGAUUUAAUUGAGUUCAAGAGAGUGUGUGGUGGCAGGACACUGGGCCCACCAUGGAAUUGGGAUGUGUAUGUCUGGCAUGGUAGCAACCUGCCUUGAGAACUGGACAAGUAGAGAGAUUGUUGCCGGACUCAGAGAGUGGCCAUUGGCAGUGUGAUAUGGGAUGGAGCUUAGCAGGUGUCCAUGAAAAAAGUACCCUAAAAGGAAGAUGCAGCCAUCCACGAUUUAGGAAGGAAAAGGAGGUAAUUUGGCCCUUACGGUUAUUAAUCUACCCCAUAAAUAUUUAUGUAAGUGUGUUUAAAACUCACAAUGUGGAAGUGGUUGUUAUAGCCUAUUCCAAGGUUAGUCUG